CCUUCGAUAGCUCAGUUGGUAGAGCGGAGGACUGUAGCGGGCUCACCGAGAUCCUUAGGUCGCUGGUUCAAAUCCGGCUCGAAGGA
rnacentral:tRNA from 1 species